GACCCCGCACAAGUAGUGGAGCAUGUGGUUUAAUUCGAAGAUACGCGCAGAACCUUACCAACACUUGACAUGUUCGUCGCGACUUUAAGAGAUUAAAGUUUUCGGUUCGGCCGGACGAAACACAGGUGCUGCAUGGCUGUCGUCAGCUCGUGUCGUGAGAUGUUGGGUUAAGUCCCGCAACGAGCGCAACCCUCACUUUUAGUUGCCAUCAUUUAGUUGGGCACUCUGAAAGAACUGCCAGUGAUAAGCUGGAGGAAGGUGGGGAUGACGUCAAGUCCUCAUGGCCCUUACGUGUUGGGCUACACACGUGCUACAAUGGUAUCUACAACAGGAAAGCAAAACGGCAACGUUAAGCAAAAUCCCGAAAAGAUACCUCAGUUCGGAUUGCACUCUGCAACUCGAGUGCAUGAAGCUGGAAUUACUAGUAAUCG
rnacentral:rRNA from 1 species